rnacentral:SRP_RNA from 1 species
GCCGGGCAUGGUGGCUCAUGCCUGUAAUCCCAGCACUUGGGAGGCUGAGGCGGGAGGAUCACCUGAGGUCAGGAGUUUGAGACCAGCCUGGCUAACAUGGUGAAACCUUGUCUCUA